CAAUGGGGGCAACCACUGAUCCACACACAUGCCGCGUGUGUGAAGAAGGCCUUCGGGUUGUAAAGCACUUUUGUCCGGAAAGAAAACCACUUCUCUAAUACAUAAGUGGGAUGACGGUACCGGAAGAAUAAAAACCGGCUAACUACGUGCCAGCCGCCGCGGUAAU
rnacentral:rRNA from 1 species